UACGUAGGUGGCGAGCGUUGUCCGGAUUUACUGGGCGUAAAGGGCGCGUAGGCGGUCCGAUAAGUCCUGUGUGAAAUCCCUCGGCUCAACUGAGGAACUGCACGGGAGACUGCCGGGCUUGAGUUCGGGAGAGGGAAGCGGAAUUCCGGGUGUAGCGGUGAAAUGCGUAGAUAUCCGGAGGAACACCGGUGGCGAAGGCGGCUUCCUGGACCGACACUGACGCUGAGGCGCGAAAGCUAGGGGAGCAAACGGG
rnacentral:rRNA from 1 species